rnacentral:rRNA from 1 species
AACGAACGCUGGCGGCAUGCCUAACACAUGCAAGUCGAACGAGACCUUCGGGUCUGGUGGCGCACGGGUGCGUAACGCGUGGGAACCUGCCCUUAGGUUCGGAAUAACUCCCCGAAAGGGGUGCUAAUACCGGAUAAUGUCUUCGGACCAAAGAUUUAUCGCCUUUGGAUGGGCCCGCGUUGGAUUAGCUAGUUGGUAGGGUAAAAGCCUACCAAGGCGACGAUCCAUAGCUGGUCUGAGAGGAUGAUCAGCCACACUGGGACUGAGACACGGCCCAGACUCCUACGGGAGGCAGCAGUGGGGAAUAUUGGACAAUGGGCGAAAGCCUGAUCCAGCAAUGCCGCGCGAGUGAUGAAGGCCUUAGGGUUGUAAAGCUCUUUUACCCGGGAUGAUAAUGACAGUACCGGGAGAAUAAGCUCCGGCUAACUCCGUG